UAGGGAAUCUUCCACAAUGGACGCAAGUCUGAUGGAGCAACGCCGCGUGAGUGAAGAAGGUUUUCGGACCGUAAAGCUCUGUUGUUGGUGAAGGAGGAUAGAGGUAGUAACUGGCCUUUAUUUGACGGUAAUCAACCAGAAAGUCACGGCUAACUACGUGCCAGCAGCCGCGGUAAUCGUAGGUGGCAAGCGUUGUCCGGAUUUAUUGGGCGUAAAGCGAGCGCAGGCGGAAGAAUAAGUCUGAUGUGAAAGCCCUCGGCUUAACCGAGGAAUUGCAUCGGAAACUGUUUUUCCUUGAGUGCAGAAGAGGAGAGUAGAACUCCAUGUGUAGCGGUGGGAUGCGUAGAUAUAUGGAAGAAUACCAGUGGCGAAGGCGGCUCUCUGGUCUGCAACUGACGCUGAGGCUCGAAAGCAUGGGUAGCGAACAGGAUUAGAUACCCUUGGUAGUCCAU
rnacentral:rRNA from 1 species